AAUCGCUGUGACGACUCGGAAAAUUCAAGCUCAAUAGACCGGAUUGCAGAUUUGCAGGUCCCUCUCUAUUCAGAGAUUGUUACUUGCAUGUCGAUUAACCCGCUGAACUGAGCGAUU